AUAGCGUAUAUUAAAGUUGUUGCAGUUAAAAAGCUCGUAGUUGUACUUCAGAUUUGGUCGGGUGGUCCGCUUAACGGCGUGUUACUGCUUGGCUGGGUCUUGUCUCUUGGUGAACCGUAGUGCCCUUUAUUGAGUGCUGCGGGGAACCAGGACUUUUACCUUGAGAAAAUUAGAGUGUUCAAAGCAGGCUUAUGCCUGAAUACAUUAGCAUGGAAUAAUAGAAUAGGACGUGUGGUUCUAUUUUGUUGGUUUCUAGAAUCGCCGUAAUGAUUAAUAGGGAUAGUUGGGGGCAUUGGUAUUCAGUCGCUAGAGGUGAAAUUCUUGGAUUGACUGAAGACCGACUACUG
rnacentral:rRNA from 1 species